rnacentral:rRNA from 1 species
GAACGAACGCUGGCGGCGCGUCUUAAACAUGCAAGUCGAACGAUCUGUAGCAAUACAGGGAGUGGCGGACGGGUGAGGAACACGUAGGAAUCUACCUAGAAGAGCGGGACAACUUUGGGAAACCGGGGCUAAUACCGCAUAGUACAGAGAUGUUAAAGGGCUAGCAAUAGUCGCUUCUAGAUGAGCCUGCGGUCUAUCAGCUUGUUGGUGAGGUAAUGGCUCACCAAGGCAGCGACGGAUAGCCGGUCUGAGAGGAUGAUCGGCCACACUGGCACUGAGACACGGGCCAGACUCCUACGGGAGGCAGCAGUUAAGAAUCUUGCGCAAUGGGGGAAACCCUGACGCAGCGACGCCGCGUGAAGGAUGAAGGCUUUCGGGUUGUAAACUUCGGUAGACUGGGAAGAAGAACUACGUUCGUUGAGGGCGUAGAGUGACGGUACCAGUCUGAAGCCCCGGCUAAUUACGUG